GACGAACGCUGGCGGCGUGCCUAAUACAUGCAAGUCGAACGAGAGCGACCGGUGCUUGCACUGGUCAAUCUAGUGGCGAACGGGUGAGUAACACGUGGGUAACCUGCCCAUCAGAGGGGGAUGACAUCCGGAAACGGAUGCUAAAACCGCAUAGGUCUUCGAGCCGCAUGGCUUGAAGAGGAAAAGAGGCGCAAGCUUCUGCUGAUGGAUGGACCCGCGGUGCAUUAGCUAGUUGGUGAGGUAACGGCUCACCAAGGCCGUGAUGCAUAGCCGACCUGAGAGGGUGAUCGGCCACAUUGGGACUGAGACACGGCCCAAACUCCUACGGGAGGCAGCAGUAGGGAAUCUUCCGCAAUGGACGCAAGUCUGACGGAGCAACGCCGCGUGAGUGAAGAAGGUUUUCGGAUCGUAAAACUCUGUUGUUAGAGAAGAACAAGUGCUAGAGUAACUGUUAGCGCCUUGACGGUAUCUAACCAGAAAGCCACGGCUAACUACGUG
rnacentral:rRNA from 1 species